CGGCAGGCCUAACACAUGCAAGUCGAGCGGUAACAGGGGAAGCUUGCUUCUCGCUGACGAGCGGCGGACGGGUGAGUAAUGUAUGGGGAUCUGCCCGAUAGAGGGGGAUAACUACUGGAAACGGUGGCUAAUACCGCAUAAUCUCUUAGGAGCAAAGCAGGGGACCUUCGGGCCUUGCGCUGUCGGAUGAACCCAUAUGGGAUUAGCUAGUAGGUAAGGUAAUGGCUUUCCUAGGGGACGAUCCCUAGCUGGUCUGAAAGGAUGAACA
rnacentral:rRNA from 1 species